rnacentral:rRNA from 1 species
GAUGAACGCUAGCUACAGGCUUAACACAUGCAAGUCGCGGGGCAGCAUGGAUGUCCUUUCGGGGACAUCUGAUGGCGACCGGCGUACGGGUGAGUAACGCGUAUCCAACCUUCCCUUUACAACGGGACAGCCCGUCGAAAGGCGGAUUAAUACCGUAUGUUGUCAUGUUGAUGCAUAUUUUCAUGACCAAAGGCUUCGGCCGGUAAAGGAUGGGGAUGCGUCUGAUUAGCUUGCCGGCGGGGUAACGGCCCACCGGGGCGACGAUCAGUAGGGGUUCUGAGAGGAAGGUCCCCCACAUUGGAACUGAGACACGGUCCAA